rnacentral:rRNA from 1 species
AGAGCGAACGCUGGCGGCAGGCCUAACACAUGCAAGUCGAGCGCGUGUAGCAAUACACGAGCGGCAGACGGGAGAGUAACACGUGGGAACGCGCCCUUCGGUUCGGAAUAACUCAGGGAAACUUGAGCUAAUACCGGAUACGCCCUUACGGGGAAAGAUUUAUUGCCGAAGGAACGGCCCGCGUCCGAUUAGCUAGUUGGUGAGGUAACGGCUCACCAAGGCGACGAUCGGUAGCUGGUCUGAGAGGAUGACCAGCCUCACUGGGACUGAGACACGGCCCAGACUCCUACGGGAGGCAGCAGUGGGGAAUAUUGGACAAUGGGCGCAAGCCUGAUCCAGCCAUGCCGCGUGAGUGAUGAAGGCCCUAGGGUUGUAAAGCUCUUUUGUGCGGGAAGAUAAUGACGGUACCGCAAGAAUAAGCCCCGGCUAACUUCGUGCCAGCAGCCGC